rnacentral:lncRNA from 1 species
GAGCUCCUCUUUUCAGCCUGGACCUAAUCAGAAAGACACUCCUUGCCACAGGGAAUUGAAUAGAGUCCCUCUCACUUGCGGUCAUCAUGGCACUGGGACUGGGCUGAGGACAUAAGUGGCACGAAUUCUGAUCAGGGGUCAGGCCACAGAGCAGAUUGUAGCAGCGAGCAAAAAGAGAGAGCAGCCAUUCCUGCUGUGCCUCAGUGCUAUGGUGAACCCCGAGGGGGAAGACUUCCAUGGUAUAUCCACAAUAAAGGGCUUGUUCACAAAAGGAACUCUGUGUGAGCACAUAAUCAAAGAACGAGAACUUUCUGCAAAUAGAUCUAAGGACUGUGAUACAAGAAAGCCACGUCCCAGCUUGGACUGGCUUAGGGCAAGAACAAAGAAGGACACCCAGAGAGGGGCAGCAGAGCUGACUGAUGUUUGAAGGACAGUCCAGAGUGAAGAGAAUAGAACAGAGCUUAUUAUCUGACAUUGGACAAGCGUUAAUCACUUUCUAGGCAGUUCCAAUCUUGGGCAUAGAGAGUGCAAAGCCACAAAAUGUAAACCAACUCAUAACAACCUUCUUGCUCCUUGUUGGCACACAGUGAGGGCCAGUCCACCAGUCCCACCUCUUCCGAUUCUCAGGUUGAGACCCGGUUGAUGUUUGGCAGCUGUACCAGAUGUUUCUUGGUUUCAUACAAAAGGUUCAAGACGUAGCGAGCAUGGAGCUGCUACUGGGAGGAAGAGGAGGGAAGGAAGAAAACAACACUGAUAUUCGUGAGGGAAAAUGGUCCUUACCUUUACUGCUUAACAACCCCCAUCACCUAAGACCCCAAAAGUAACCCCAGUAAACUGCUCCUGGGACUAUG